rnacentral:rRNA from 1 species
CUGCAGCCCGAGUGGUGAUCGAUUUUAUUGAGCCUAAAGCGUCCGUAGCCGGACUAGUAAACCCUUGGGUAAAUUGGGCAGCUUAACUGUCCAAAUUCCGAGGGGACUGCUAGUCUUGGGACCGGGAGAGGUCAGAGGUACUCCAGGGGUAGGGGCUAAAUCCUGUAAUCCUUGGGGGACCACCAGUGGCGAAGGCGUCUGACUAGAACGGAUCCGACGGUAAGGGACGAAACCCUGGGGCGCGAACCGGAUUAGAUACCCGUGUAGUCC